UACGUAGGGGGCGAGCGUUGUCCGGAUUUAUUGGGCGUAAAGAGCGUGUAGGCGGUUUGGUAGGUCCGUUGUGAAAACUCGAGGCUCAACCUGGGAAUUGCAUUCGAGACUGAAUAGCUAGGGUACGGUAGAGGGAAGUGGAAUUUCCGGUGUAGCGGUGAAAUGCGUAGAUAUCGGAAGGAACAUCAGUGGCGAAAGCGACUUCCUGGACCAGUACCGACGUUCAGGCACGAAAGCGUGGGGAGCAAACAGG
rnacentral:rRNA from 1 species